rnacentral:lncRNA from 1 species
CUUUAGCAUGACUUUCUUCAUAUUUUUUUCCGUGUACAGUGACUUGAUUUCUCCUAUAUCCUAUUAAGCAGGAUACAUAGAGAUGAUGGAUGGUAACAAAUGGAUACUGAGUAUAUUCAGCACCUCUCCAAGAAACUGGUAAAGACUAGCCUGCAAAACUAAGAGAGACUGUGACAGAGCUGUUCCAGGAGAAAGAAAAUAGCUCAAGGACAGAAUUCGUACGGACAGACAUUCCGU